GGAUGUUUGGGUGAUCUAGCUGUGACAUCUGUCACCCCACUGAUCACCAGGCUUGAUGUGACUGAUCUGGCUGGUUAGGCACAUGUCCCUUCUCCCUCCCCGGUCCAUGUGCAUCCCUCCCUAAGCUACACUCUCUGUUGAAGAGGAUGACUUUCCACCAUAGAGGAAGACUGGUCUUUGCUCAAGGGUAUACGAGUAGCUGUGUUCCUCUGCUAGAACUGCUAAACAAGCUCUUAAGAAAUACAGGAGUCAAAAAGAGCUGCCCAACCUUAUUACGACACCAAACAUGUCUGUUU
rnacentral:snRNA from 1 species